rnacentral:rRNA from 1 species
UGGCGGGACGGGGUGGAGUAAUGUCUGGGGAAACUGCCUGAUGGAGGGGGAUAACUACUGGAAACGGUAGCUAAUACCGCAUAACGUCGCAAGACCAAAGAGGGGGACCUUCGGGCCUCUUGCCAUCGGAUGUGCCCAGAUGGGAUUAGCUAGUAGGUGGGGUAACGGCUCACCUAGGCGACGAUCCCUAGCUGGUCUGAGAGGAUGACCAGCCACACUGGAACUGAGACACGGUCCAG